rnacentral:rRNA from 1 species
CCUGGGUUUGAAUCCUUUGACCGCCAUGGAAACAUGGUUUUCCCGACUCUGUCGGGACAGAGUGACAGGUGCUGCAUGGCUGUCGUCAGCUCGUGUCGUGAGAUGUUGGGUUAAGUCCCGCAACGAGCGCAACCCUUGUCUUUAGUUGCCAGUAUUAAGUUAGGCACUCUAAAGAGACUGCCUCGGUUAACGAGGAGGAAGGUGGGGAUGACGUCAAGUCCUCAUGGCCUUUAUACCCAGGGCUACACACGUGCUACAAUGGGCUGUACAAAGGGUCGCUAUCCCGCGAAGGGGAGCUAAUCCCAAAAAGCGGUUCUCAGUUUGGAUUGGAGUCUGCAACUCGACUUCAUGAAGUCGGAAUGGGUAGUUAUCGUGGAUCAGCUUGCCACGGUGAAUACGUUCGGGGGCCCU